rnacentral:tRNA from 1 species
GGGGCCUUAGCUCAGCUGGGAGAGCGAUUCGCUGGCAGCGAAUAGGUCAGGGGUUCGAGCCCCCUAGGCUCCACCA